rnacentral:rRNA from 1 species
GAUGAACGCUGGCGGCGUGCUUAACACAUGCAAGUCGAACGGAAAGGCCGAAGCUUGCUUCGGUACUCGAGUGGCGAACGGGUGAGUAACACGUGGGUGAUCUGCCCUGUACUUCGGGAUAAGCUUGGGAAACUGGGUCUAAUACCGGAUAUGACGAUCUCUUGGAUGGGGUUGUGGAAAGCUUUUGCGGUAUGGGAUGAGCUCGCGGCCUAUCAGCUUGUUGGUGGGGUAAUGGCCUACCAAGGCGUCGACGGGUAGCCGGCCUGAGAGGGUGUACGGCCACAUUGGGAUUGAGAGACGGCCCAGACUCCUACGUGUGGCAGCAUGGGGGAAUAUUGCACAAUGGGCGCAAGCCUGAGGCAGCGACGCCGCGUGGGGGUUGACGGCCUUCGGGUUGUAAACUCCUUUCGCAAUCGACGAAGCCUUUUGGUGACGGUAGGUUGAGAAGAAGCACCGGCUAACUACGUG